rnacentral:misc_RNA from 1 species
CUCGAUAAUCCACGAACACCUUACCUCCCCUAGAUCUAACAGCUUGUGUACUGCCGUCGUAAGCACACCUCUAAAAGAACAAGUAUGCAAUCAUGACUAGUCUCAUAUACGUCAGGUCAAAGUGCAGCCAAUGGGGAAGGUGAUGAUGGGUUACAACCUAAAUAAAGACACGGAAUAAAGUUCUAAUAGCUUUAUAAAAGUGGACUUGGGUGUAAUAAUGACUAAAUACCAAAAUGAAAUCGAAUCUAAGACAUGCACACAUCGCCCGUCACUCUUGCCUAAAGGCAAGAUAAGUCGUAACAAAGUAGGUGUAACGGAAGUUGCACCUGUCGAAGUAUAGCAUAUAAAAUGCUUUUUACUUACACUAAAAAAAAGACAUUUGUCUACUCCGCUUAUCCCUAAUUAUUCUUAUAAAAAAUGAUUAAUAAAAACACUUCAAUCUCAAUUUUUCCAAUUAAAAAAACUAAAAGUACUAAAAAGGAAACGCCAAUCUUAUAGUAGUGAAUAGCUCACCUACCUUGUGCAUUAUGGUUUUACAAGCACAAAAUUAAAAAUUCUCUCCCGAAUUCUAUGCGAGCUGCUCCCUUAUAGCUAAGAGCCCACUACUAGUUGUAGCACUAACUUUAGAAAAUAGGGUAGCAGGGGCUACAUACCAAACGCGCUAGAAAAUUGCUGGUUAUUAGUAAAAUUUAUACAUUAAAACAUAUAAUUCUAUUAUAUUGUAAGAUUUUAGAGGAUAAGCCCUAAGAUCUUAAGCCAAAUAAUAACCACAAAGAAACUUAUAGGCCUAAAAACAGCCAUUAUAAAUACCUUACCGUAAACACCCACAUAAUAUAUAAGCAACCUGCCCCAAAAAACUAAUAUUUAAGAAAAACAGCAAUCUUAAUAUAAUAUGUAAAAAUAAGUAUUUUUCACCAACUAAUCCAACUCUAAUUAAAUACAAUAGCUUAUAAAGGAACUCGGCAAAUUCUUAUUUCGACUGUUUAACAAAAACAUUGCUUCUUGUCACACCAUAAGAAGUAAUC